rnacentral:rRNA from 1 species
AUUGAACGCUGGCGGCAUGCCUUACACAUGCAAGUCGAACGGCAGCACGGGUGCUUGCACCUGGUGGCGAGUGGCGAACGGGUGAGUAAUACAUCGGAACAUGUCCUGUAGUGGGGGAUAGCCCGGCGAAAGCCGGAUUAAUACCGCAUACGAUCUACGGAUGAAAGCGGGGGACCUUCGGGCCUCGCGCUAUAGGGUUGGCCGAUGGCUGAUUAGCUAGUUGGUGGGGUAAAGGCCUACCAAGGCGACGAUCAGUAGCUGGUCUGAGAGGACGACCAGCCACACUGGGACUGAGACACGGCCCAGACUCCUACGGGAGGCAGCAGUGGGGAAUUUUGGACAAAGGGCGAAAGCCAGAUCCAGCAAUGCCGCGUGUGUGAAGAAGGCCUUCGGGUUGUAAAGCACUUUUGUCCGGAAAGAAAUCCUUGGCCCUAAUACGGUCGGGGGAUGACGGUACCGGAAGAAUAAGCACCGGCUAACUACGUG